UACGGGGGGGGUAAGCGUUGUUCGGAAUUACUGGGCGUAAAGCGCACGUAGGCGGGUUGUUAAGUCAGGGGUGAAAUCCUGGAGCUCAACUCCAGAACUGCCUUUGAUACUGGCAACCUAGAGACUGGAAGAGGUUAGUGGAAUUCCCAGUGUAGAGGUGAAAUUCGUAGAUAUUCGGAAGAACACCAGUGGCGAAGGCGACUCGCUGGACAAGUAUUGACGCUGAGGUGCGAAAGCGUGGGGAGCAAACAGG
rnacentral:rRNA from 1 species